rnacentral:lncRNA from 1 species
UGUCUGGCCUCUGUGGAUCAUCCACAUGAAGCUUUCGAUCUGAUCGACUCCUCAUGAGUGCUAGCUCGUUGUAGAGCCCUUUCGACGGCCGAUGCUGAUCGAACUCCUUCGAUCGAUAUCUGCCAAUUCUUUGGAUGCUCUGGAUAAUCAGCAGAUGUGCUUGAGAAGAUGUUGAAGAUCUUCCUAAAAUUUGGUGGGCUCACGACACUCGUAGCUCACCUUCUCACUUUCCGAACCCCAGGAUGAAACCCUAGGGUACACUAAGAAAACUCUGUGCCCUUUUUUCUUUCUUUUUCUCUCGGAAGGUUUUGGACCUUCACCUCAUACAGAAAGCUUCCUCAUGCCCCCAACUUUCUCUCCAAAAAAUUCUACACACGCCCCACCUUUCUCCCCUUUUUAAAACAACAUCGAACAUGUCUUAUCCGCGUGAGAGGAUAAAGAUAAGUGGUUGAACAUUUGAAUUCAAAUCGAGUUUGAAUAUAAAUGCAAACCAACUCAUCCCUAUCCACUUAUGGCAUGAGAAGAGAAGGGUGUGGACUCUUUGUGCAUGGAAAGGUUUAAUGAGAAACUCUUUCUCGUGUAAGAUAUGUGGCACACAAGAUGGAUAAGCAUGAAGGCGCAAGAGAUAAGUUAUCCAUUCAAAUUCAAACACGCUUUGAAUUUGA